GCUGCGAGGCAUCACGGAUGCCUCUGGGCUGCGGGCCUCUUUCUCCGCUAGAGCCAGCGCUCUAGGUUGCUGGGUCCCGGCCCCUGCCCUGGAUGGUCGACCACCUCCUCAUUUGGAACCCUGCUCAGGCUCAACAUUUCACAGGCCUCCAUCCUUCACCUCAAGCCCAGGAGCUCAGCUCUCAGGAGCUGGUGUUACCGACCUCCGACCUGCUGGGCGCAACGUGCCACGUGAGAGCUGCAGAGAUUUCUCCUUCCUGUGACGCUGAGAAGGUGGGAGGAACUGGCCAUGUUCCUAGAGAGGCUGCUCGUGUCGGAGAGAGGAUCUCAU